UUUUUGGCCCCUAAUUGCCUAAUGAUUUAAGCCAUAACCCCCCAUAACCAUCCUUUUGUAGUAUGGAAACUUGUGGUAUAAUUUCAGGGAGAAUUAUACACUUAAACACAAGUUAUUGACUGAAAACUACAAAAAUGCUUAUUUGGGCCCCUUGUUUUACCCCUCACUUAUUGAAACCCCUCUCCAACCUUGGAGCAAGAACCCCAAAACUCAAUUCCAG
rnacentral:lncRNA from 1 species